rnacentral:lncRNA from 1 species
AAAUAUAAACAUGAGGAUGAUGACAAUGAUAUAAGAAUUCAAUAAAACAAGUUCAAGAAUUAAUUUAUCUAGGAACUGAUAACGUCCAAACUGUCAACAUGAUACUGCUUUGUAGAGUAAAAUUCAAGAAUGCUCAGAAGAAUAUUUCCAUGAAAAGAUACUGGAUGAAGCGCAAAUAUCAAGGAUAUUCCACUAAUUUCAUGGAGUA